ACCAAGAACCUAUGUUGGUUUUACGGGCUCACCAACGAACCUUCACAAUUGGUUUUACGGGCUCACCAACAAACCUACACCGUUGGUUUUACGUGCUCACCAACAAACCUUUACAAGGUGAUUAAAAAGAAGAAGAAAGUUGAAACUCCUAGAUGAGCAAAUAUAACAAUUAUAAGCUACAAAGAAGAGUUUAGAAUAUAGUUAUCGCUUGAUGAGACUUCUCUCUUCUUUGUCAAGAAUGCUUCACUCUUUAAGGAUGGAUGGAGCUCUUAAUGUCUCUUGGAAUCUGCUCAGCCACUUCCUUUUGACUCUUUGAAUGAAGCACUUGGAUGAAGAAAAUUAGGGCUCUUGUCUUUCUUGUGUAAGCUUUGAUAUUUUGCAAAAGGAUGUUUUCUCUGAUGAAUAGUGUCCUUUUAAAUAGU
rnacentral:lncRNA from 1 species